CUUCAACAAAUACCAUUUAGCUGUGAUUCGUUUGAUGCUGCUAUUGCUGCUCAUAUAUCAAGACAUGAAAAUAAGAUGAUAUUUCCUUCCACUGUGGCAUCCCUCAGUUCUUCAAUCUGGGAUGCUGAAGAAACAUGUGAUGCUUUCUCAUUUCAAAAGAAUCAUGCCCUGUACCAGGAAGUUCCUACUUCAAUUGAUGUUGUCUCUCCUGGCACUGACAAACGGACAAACUCAAUGUUUUAUGGUGCCUUUCUUGAGGGGUUGGCUAAUGGUGAGGGGCAUGUGGAUUAUCCUACUGAAACUGACCCUAUGGAUGAAUGUUCACCUGAUCCACAUGUUGUGGACAACUCGGUUAAAGAUUUCACUGGGCUAACAGAUAUCUANNNNNNNNNCUGGCCUGAAUCUUUAGGACCAUUGGAUCUGGAUAUACCCUCAUCUAAAUACCAUAGCGAAGAGUUUAUUUUAGGUGACAGCCUAAGCGGUUUGAACCGGCUGAUAGCCAGCAGCUUGGA
rnacentral:misc_RNA from 1 species